rnacentral:lncRNA from 9 species
UCUGCCCUGUCCAAUAUGGAAGCCACCAGCCACAUGGGACUGGGCGAUGAGAAUUUUCAAUUUUACUCAAUUUUAAUUAAUUUUAGUAGCCACAUGCGGCUCAUGGCUACUGUACUGGACAGCACAGCUUUAAAGCUUCUGAUCGGGGGACAUAACUGAAUGUCAAACGGAACAUUUUAAGUAACUGUUUUCUAGAAGAUACGUAAGCUGAGUAAUAAGACAUCAACAUUUACCACAUCCCCCAAGGCAGGGGCUGGAGGGGGUCUGCCUAAGUGGCUCCCUGAGCUGUGACUGCCCUCUGGUCUGUUCGAACAGAAAAAGGACCGCAGGCGCAGCAGGGUUUCUGACCAGACAACUGAAUGGAUGCGCGAGGGAAACGCUCAGGAGUCGGUGCCAAGGCCUGGUUCUCUAAAACCCUCGGAAGCUAUGCCGGUUAUUCCUCUAACUGGGCCUAGACAAGGGCUUGCCAGCCUGGCACCAAACCGCCUCGCUCUGUGCCAGCCCAGUGGGCUCUGAAAGAUGUUUUAAGGCCAGCUGCAAACUGUGUCCUUUCUCCGAAGCCCUUAAUACGAGAUCCCGAACACACACGGGAAAAGGACCAGCGCUUGCGAGCUUUCCCACAGCUUCCCUGGAUUCCCAAAACACUCCCAGAAUGGGACGCCACAGAUCCAAGCCAAGCCAGCUCCAAAUUUCAGAGGCCCCACGGAGCCUUCAAGUCCGGGCCAAAACAGGGCCAGCCUCCUGGGCUGCAGCAGCAAAAAGACACAGCCCAAACAUCUCCUGACUUGGGCAAUGACGGCAGCAGCCGAGUGGCUCCGCUAAGGAACUGGAAAUCCAGUUUAAAAGGAAAUCACAUAACCACUAAUGUGUCCAAGAGAUCUGUAAAUCAAUACCUGUAAAGCGGACCCUGUGAAAGUCAUUCUCCUUCUGACUUAAGGAAUCUGAGCUCCCGCAGGGACGAUGGAUAAUAUUACCCUGAGAGAGAGGCUAUUCUAUUACCACACUCACAAUGUGAAAUUCAAAUCGUCUAAGGUAAAAUAGGCUUCUAAGACUUUUAAUGCUAGGGAAAUAAAUAGAAACUUCGCCAGGGCGCUCUUAUUCGAGAUCAAUUACAUUCACCAUUUAAGAAGUACUUUCUCCUACGGAUCGGCAGGUCCAAUUUUAUAUUUAUCCCCCCCGUAUCUUAGCCUGGAUAGUAAGUAAAAAGGAUUCCCAAUCAAAGGCUGAAAAGCACUAAGGUGUGGGAGAGUGUGCCCGGCACCCAGGAAGGACAGGGCACCACAUCCUGGCUUGCCCAGGGCUUUCAGGGCUUGGGGCGGGGGGCAGCCGGCCCAGAGUAGCUUCGAGAAAUUAACACGUCUACUGCAGGCCAGUCACGCCGAUGCGGCAAGAGUGACCUUAUUUCUUUCCCCCCCGUGGUGGGCUAAAGGAGAAAUAUGACUGAUAACCACUGAACUCCUUCCCAAGCACACAGAGAUAAGGACAUGCAAAUGUGCUCUGUGCUAAAGACACAGGCGCUACGGAGCGUGAGGGAUGCAGGAGACAGAGCACAUUCUGUUUCCUAACAGUCGGUUUUACACCACUGAGGAAAUUUGGUACACUUACGAAAUUGAAUGUUUGUCUCUCCUACUUAAGUAACUCAGAGAGAGACAAGAACAGCAUGGAAGCGUCACCAUACAAAGACCAAAGAGAAGGGACCGAGGAGAUGCUAAAACUCUUCCUAGAGCAUCAGGCAACUUGCCGCCUGUGCCUCUGCGGGCGCCACACCGCCGUCCACACGCUGGACCAGAAACGUGGAAACACUGCUUGGUGUGGACGGACAACGGGGUCAACUUCCAGAGCCGUGAAUUUCAUAAAAGAAGCCGAACAGACCUACCUGCUGGUAACAGGAUCUCAAAGGCCAACUGCACGUCACAGUGAUUACCCCGGGGGAGUGAGAAAACACCCAGGACGGGGACUUUCCUUUACAAUUCCCAUCCUGGCCACCUGCUUGAAUGUCGAAUCGUGGACAUAACAAUGUAGUUAUUCUAAAACCAACUGUGGGACUUCCCGUCGUGGCGCAGCAGAAACGAAUCCGACUGGGAACCAUGAGGGUGCGGGAUCGAUCCCUGGCCUUGCUCAGUGGGUUAAGGAUCCGGCCUUGCCAUGAGCUGUGGUGUAGGUCGCAGACGCGGCUCGGAUCCCCCGUUGCUGUGGCUCUGGCGUAGGCCGGCGGCUACAGCUCCGAUUAGACCCCUAGCCUGCAGACCUCUAUAUCCUAAAAAGACACAAAGACCCAAAAAAUAAAAAAUAAAAAAUAAAUAAAACCAACGGUGGAGGCAUGCUCCCCAUCCAUAGAGAAUUUUUUUUUUCAAAUUACUGUAGAUUCUGAGAGAAUUUAGUAGCUUGUUAAGUAAGAGCAGAGUACAUACCUGAGACACCACGACUUCAUUUAAAUCUAAUCAAGGAAAAGAGGUUUUCCUUCUUUUUUUCCCAAAAGCAAAUUAUGUUUCUACAGGGAUCAGGAAAAGGAGUAUGACCUUCCAAGCCCUCGGCUUUUCCACUCUCUCCUCUGCACUGGAUGAAGGAUGACAUUUUAUAUGUCGCUAACCUUGGACCCACGAUCUCGUGUACGGGUCUGAGGUCCCUAUAGCUGACACGCUGGUGUCUCGUUUGAGUCACAUGAGAUGAGAAUGUUAAGCCCACACAAUAUUCAGAGUGCUAUAUAUACAGAGCGCACGCUGCCAACACACUCUAAACAACAGGAACACACAUACCACGGAGACCUCAAAUUAACUGGAUGACUCUAAUAAUUGGAAGGGCCAAUCGCAGGCCAUUUUCUCCCCACAGGGCGUUAUUUUCCAUCCUGCAGAUAAAACAGCCUGCUCCAAAAGCACAAGUGUCCCACAAGGAGCGGGGAGGCACGAGGGUGACUGCUGAAAAACAAAGUCAGAGCAGAACAGCUGACAAUCCCAAGGGCUGGUUAGCAGACAGAAAGAACCUAACUGCAUGCUCCCGGCAGGUGAAAACAACAAGCCAGCCUAAGGAGCUCACACCAAGUGAACGUGAUAAUUACUGAGCUGAUCAGGAUGCCCAGCUGUUUCUUGGGCUGCUAAUUUAUUAGGGGGACCUUUUGGUCACCAAGAGGAGCAAAGUGAAAAUCAACGGCAAUCAGUGACUUUCUGUAUCCCCCUCUGUUGCCAGCAGGACUCGCACCUUCUCAAUCUAACAAGCUAGAAAAGGCAGCUGUCCAAAUGUCACCAGUCAAACGUAGUGACAGGUUGAAGGAUACCGGCAAGCAUGUAUUACCAACACUGGACCGUGGAGGAAGGGACCCCAGUGGAGUCUUUUGGUUUAUCCGUUUGUGUUUUGCUUCUUUUUUGGCCACACCCGGCAACGUACUGAAGCUCCUGGGCCAGGGAUUGAAUCCAAGCCACAGCUGCGACCUACGCCACAGCUGCGUCCACUGCCGGAUCCUUAACCCCCUGCACUACAGCAGGAACUCCAGGGACCUGGGGCUGUUAUGUCUGAAAGGAGGAGACGAGAAUCCUUCAGUUCUCGAUGGGCCUGUGCAGGAAAAGAAAGGGAAGCCUGCUUAGGACCAAGAGACGACCCUCACCCAAACUCACUUGCAUCUGGUGUUGUACUAGGGUGCUGGCCAGACCAGACCACCCUAAUGUAUCUCCUGAUUACCCUAAAGAAAGGACAGGGAAAGAAGAAAGUAUCAAUCAGGGGAGAGAAUGCUGAAGCACAGAGGACAGGGAGAGAAGAGGGGGGCUCACAGAAAACAAGCUUGCAUUAUCUAAAAAAGUUCCAGAUGUGUAUCCCUCCGACAGCAAUUCCACCCCCAUGAAUAAAGACAUCCUAAAGAAACUUUUGCAAGGAGCACCAGGAGUCCUGGACAAAAAUAUUUACGGCUUUACUGUUUGUGUUGACAGGAAACGAGGGCGUUCCCUUCAUGGCUCAGCGGUUAACAAACCCAACUAGGAUCCAUGAGGUUUCGGGUUCGAUCCCUGGCCUCACUCAGUGGGUUAGGGAUUCGGCAUUGCUGUGAGCUGUGGUGUAGGUCGCAGACGUGGUUCGGAUCCUGCGUUGCUGUGGCUCUGGCGUAGGCCGGCAGCUACAGCUCCGAUUCAACCCCUAGCCUGGGAAGCUCCAUGUGCUGUGGGUGCGGCCAUUUAAAAAAAAAAAAAAAAAAAAAGGCCAAAAAACCCAAGUAGGAAACAACUCAAAUGUUCAUCCAAAGGAGAUUUAUGAUAUAUCCAUACAAUGAUGUUCCAUCCCUGAGUGAAGAUAUUUCAGUUCGAGCUACCACACAAUUCUCACGAACUUCGUGUUGACUUAAAAACAACACACGCACACACUAAAAUAGGCCACAGCACACAUCCAGUAGGCCAGCAUUUCUAUCAACUUCCCAAAACAUUCAAAACUAAAACGUAUUGUUUAAAGGUGCACAGAUAUAGUAAAGAUCUUUUAAUUUUAAAAGACAAGGAUAUGACAGACCCACAAUUCAGAAUGAUAUUUACCUUUAUGGGGGGGGACAAGGGGGUGUGGCCAGGAAGAGACACCCCAAGGGCUUCAACACAACUGUCGUGCUCCUUCUCAAGCCGAGUCAAGCAUAGAGAUGUACUUCUUGUCAAUUUUUAAGUGUGAAUAUCCUUCCUUAGGAUAUAUGUUAAUUUUGCAUGCAUGAAACCAUUCAAAAUAAAGGGGGGGGGAUAAAAAGUUGACGAUGUAACCAGACAAUGCUCCCUAAACCCCCCCCCCCACUUACACGGAGCCAGCCAGACCCCAGGACCACAGAACCAACCCUGUUUAGAGGUGACAAGAAAGACCACCUCCAGGCACUUCCCUGUGCUUCCCGGUGGAACCAGCUUCACAGUGUCUACCCAAGGGGCAAACUGUAAGACACUGCACACUGUCCCCAAAGAGUU